AUUGAACGCUAGCGGGAUGCUUUACACAUGCAAGUCGAACGGAGGGGGGGACGGGUGAGUAAUAUAUCGAAACGUGCGGAGUAGCGGGGGAUAACUAGUCGAAAGAGUGGAUAAUACCGCAUUCUCUUGGAGCGGCCGAUAUCGUAUUAGCUAGUUGGUGGGGGAAAGGCUCACCAAGGCAACGCGCCGUAGCUGGUUUGAGAGGACGACCAGCCACACUGGGACUGAGACACGGCCCAGACUCCUACGGGAGGCAGCAGUGGGGAAUUUUGGACAAUGGGGGAAACCCUGAUCCAGCCAUCCCGCGUGUAUGAUGAAGGCCUUCGGGUUGUAAAGUACUUUUGGCAGAGAAGCGGUAUCUGCAGAAUAAGCACCGGCUAACUACGUGCCAGCAGCCGCGGUAAUAC
rnacentral:rRNA from 1 species